GCGGUUGUGGCGGAAUGGCAGACGCGCUGUCUUCAGGCGGCAGUAAUCUUUCGAUUGUGUGGGUUCAACUCCCACCAACCGCACCA
rnacentral:tRNA from 7 species